AUUGAACGCUGGCGGCAUGCCUUACACAUGCAAGUCGAACGGUAACGUGGGGCAACCUGGCGACGAGUGGCGAACGGGUGAGUAAUACAUCGGAACGUGCCCAGUAGUGGGGGAUAGCCCGGCGAAAGCCGGAUUAAUACCGCAUACGAACGACGGGUGAAAGCGGGGGAGCGCACGGCCUCGUGUUAUCGGCUCGGCAGGUUUCAGAUUCGAUAGGUGGUGGGGUCAAAGCCUACCAAGGCGACGAUCGGUAGCAGGUCUGAGAGGACGACCAGCCACGCUGGGACUGAGACACGGCCCAGACUCCUACGGGAGGCAGCAGUGCGGAAUUUUGUGCGAUGGGAGCAACCCUGAUCCAGCCAUGCCGCGUGCGGGAAGAAGGCCUUCGGGUUGUAGACCGCUUUUGUCGGGGAAGAAACGGUCUGCGCUAAUACCGCGGACUAAUGACGUUACCCGAAGAAUAAGCACCGGCUAACUACGUGCCAGCCGCCGCGGUAAAAC
rnacentral:rRNA from 1 species